rnacentral:lncRNA from 10 species
UGAGACGUGGUCUUGUAACACAGUGGUUAAGAAUGUGACUUUGGAGCCAGCCUGCUAGGGGCUGAAUUCUGACUCAGCCAUUUACUAACUGUGUGACCUUAGGUGGAGUCUCACUCUGUAGCCCAAGCUGGAGUGGCGUGAUCUCGACUCACUGCAACCUCCGCCUCCUGGGAUCAAGUGAUUCUCGUGCCUCAGCCUCCUGAGUAGCCGGGACUACAGGUCACAGAAUUUUCCACACUCCUUGACAGAGGUGCUUAACCCUUAUCCAUCAGCAUUCUCAGACAGCACCUCCGGUUAGGGACAGUAUCUGACCGUCCGACAUCCCUGCAGCCCCCAUGUGUCACACAGACUCAGCCUCAGGUAGAUGGUUUCCGUAGAUGGUGGCUUUCUUUGGACCCUUGACAUCAACCAGUUACUAUUUGCCAGAGACAGACUCCCAGACUCGGCCAGAGGCUGAUGCCAACUCCUUCCAGCUCUCACGGUAACCAUGAGGCCCCUGCGUGUUUCUGUUGUGGAGGUCCCAGAGGGAACUGUAUGGACAGACACAGCCCGAAGGGCCAUCUGCCUCAAGCCACAGCAGCACAGAAUUCUAAAGAUUGUGGGGAAGGAUGGGGCCAAGGGGACCAGAUGUGCAGAGGUAAUGAAUACCAGGGAAUCAGGAAACCACUGGAUCAGUUCUUUGAGCCACAGAACAACACUCAUCCCAGCAGCUGGGAAGCUAUCUGCAAAAGUCCAUCUGCAGAAAGGGCUUCCUGGUCUUGCGUGUGGCUGGGCCAUUUCUCUGGAUGCAGGUUUUUCAUUAUACAGUCUUCUCAAAGAACCACCUGCUCUCAACACCUUCUCGGUGACUCCAUUUCCCCUCCUCU